GUGCCCACCAGCUUAACCACAGCACACACUGCAACUCAUUCAUACGAGAAACACAUGAAAUGUAGGCUGUGUUGAGAAAUACAUAGCAGAAUCGUAAUUAGAGGCCAGAGGAAAAGGUUGUGACGACCAUGUCAAGAUUUAUGCCUGCAAGAUGGGUUGCAGAAUUGACCUGAGCAGACCAGGCUUCCGAGGGUCAAAAAAGCGCGUGAAGGAGCGACGCUGAGCACAUUCUGGGUUCACAUUCCCCUCCUCUACUGCAUUCCUGAAUUUUCUGCCUCAUAGCGGCAUCUGAAGCACUGGCUGUGUGUGUGCUUAACCACCCUUCAAAUCCACAGCAUGUCAUAUUACCUCGUUUUUGGCUCCCUGGGACUAUUUUGGAGGACCUGAAUUAGUCAUGUGGGAUACUUGAUUAAAAACCACUUGAACGGCC